rnacentral:rRNA from 1 species
AGUAACGGCGAGUGAACGGAGAUUAGCCCAUCACCGAAGCCCAUUCGUGUUUGCGAACAGGGCCAUGUGGUGUUAGGGUGUGUGCCUGGGGCUGCUGACCUAUUUGAAGUCCGACUUCGAUUACGGCUUGGAAUUGUCCCAAAGCGGGUGAAAGGCCCGUUCGGAUAGGUUCAGGCAUUCAGCGGUCCUCAGAUGCGCAUACCUACGAGUCGGAUUGCUUGAGAAUGCAGUCCAAAGUGGGUGGUAAACUCCAUCCAAGGCUAAAUACUGGCUCGAGUCCGAUAGUAGACAAGUACCGUGAGGGAAAGUUGAAAAGUACUCUGAAGAGA